rnacentral:rRNA from 1 species
UACGAAGGGUGCUAGCGUUGUUCGGAAUCACUGGGCGUAAAGCGUGCGUAGGUGGCUUGGCAAGCCAGGGGUGAAAUCCCGGAGCUUAACUCCGGAAUUGCCUUUGGAACUGCUUGGCUAGAGGAUAUUAGAGGUAAGUGGAAUUCCUAGUGUAGGAGUGAAAUCCGUAGAUAUUAGGAGGAACAUCGAUUGCGAAGGCAGCUUACUGGGAUAUUUCUGACACUGAGGCACGAAAGCGUGGGGAUCAAACAGG